rnacentral:piRNA from 1 species
UCACCUGAUGAAAGUGUGGUACAUACAUUG